GACGAACGCUGGCGGCGUGCUUAACACAUGCCAGUCGAACGGAAAGGCCCUGCUUGCAGGGUACUCGAGUGGCGAACGGGUGAGUAACACGUGGGUGAUCUGCCCUGCACUUCGGGAUAAGCCUGGGAAACUGGGUCUAAUACCGGAUAGGAGCCAUUUUUAGUGUGAUGGUUGGAAAGUUUUUUCGGUGUAGGAUGAGCUCGCGGCCUAUCAGCUUGUUGGUGGGGUAAUGGCCUACCAAGGCGGCGACGGGUAGCCGGCCUGAGAGGGUGGACGGCCACAGUGGGACUGAGAUACGGCCCAGACGCCUACGGGAGGCAGCAGUGGGGAAUAUUGCACAAUGGGCGCAAGCCUGAUGCAGCGACGCCGCGUGGGGGAGGACGGCCUUCGGGUUGUAAACUCCUUUCGCUAGGGACGAAGCUUUUUGUGACGGUACCUAGAUAAGAAGCACCGGCUAACUACGUG
rnacentral:rRNA from 1 species